GGUUGUAUGGUGUAGUGGUAACAUCCUUGCUGGAUUUAAUGUCAAAUUGCUUUUAGCAAGUUACUCGGGUUCGAAUCCCGGUACAACCU